rnacentral:tRNA from 1 species
GGCCGGUUGGCGCAAUGGUAGCGCGCAGCCCUCCUAAGGCUGAGGCUGAGGGUUCGAGUCCCUCAUCGGUCG